rnacentral:lncRNA from 1 species
GCUGUGUCCUUCUUGAUCAGUGAGAAAAGAGAGGCUAAAAAGGAUUGUGGAAGUGGCUGGGGACCUACCUGCAAGUCACAGCAAUGGCAUUUAAAAAUUAAAGGUAAGGCAAAGACAAACACUGCUGCCCUAGACUGUAGCACAGUGCAAAGCAAAGAGCAAGAGAGAGAGUUUCAUGGAAGAGGGGAUGUCCAACUCAAGCUUCUCCUCUGUGACAUUUCUCAGAGUAAGUUGUAUUUCAGAUUAGUAGCCCUUGGCAGUAGUCUGGAGAAAGAUGAGAUUUUAGUGUGAUAUGCUACACAGGCAUGGGGGGAAAGCAAAGAGUAUGUGCGAAAAAUUGAAAUGACAAGGUCAUGUUGAUAGCUUGGUUGUGGGAGCUGCCGCGGUAGUUUGUUGCAUUAUGAUUAGAGAUGGGCCAGCUAGCAAGAAUGAGAUGAGAGCUGGUUCAAACCUUCAUCCACUCCUCUAACCAGACUGAAGUGGGGCCCAUGGUGAGGCUGAAACACAUCUAGCACUGGUACAUUUGGUUUCUCAACAUGAUUUAAUGAGCUUCUGCUUCUGAUAAUUUAGCUCAGAA